UAAUGUUACAACUCAAAAUUCCCGAUAGGGUUCACUUUCUUCAAAGUGAAAAUGCCUUGUAACCAAAAUGAAAUAAUGGGGGAAAGAAAAAUG
rfam:Globicatella sp. HMSC072A10 Globicatella_spHMPREF2811-1.0_Cont329.1, whole genome shotgun sequence.